rnacentral:rRNA from 1 species
AUACGGAGGGGGCUAGCGUUGUUCGGAAUUACUGGGCGUAAAGCGCGUGUAGGCGGCCUCUUCAGUCUGGUGUGAAAGCCCGGGGCUCACCCCCGGAAGGGCAUUGGAUACUGGGAGGCUGGAGUACCGGAGAGGAGGGUGGAAUUCCUGGUGUAGCGGUGAAAUGCGUAGAUAUCAGGAGGAACACCGGUGGCGAAGGCGGCCCUCUGGACGGAUACUGACGCUGAGACGCGACAGCGUGGGGAGCAAACAGGAUUAGAAACCCCGGUAGUCC